UACGUAGGGUGCAAGCGUUAAUCGGAAUUACUGGGCGUAAAGCGUGCGCAGGCGGUUAUGUAAGACAGUUGUGAAAUCCCCGGGCUCAACCUGGGAAUUGCAUCUGUGACUGCAUAGCUAGAGUACGGUAGAGGGGGAUGGAAUUCCGCGUGUAGCAGUGAAAUGCGUAGAUAUGCGGAGGAACACCGAUGGCGAAGGCAAUCCCCUGGACCUGUACUGACGCUGAGACGCGAAAGCGUGGGGAGCGAACAGG
rnacentral:rRNA from 1 species